rnacentral:rRNA from 1 species
AACGGCGUCGAGCGGCGGACGGGUGAGUAAUGCCUAGGAAAUUGCCUUGAUGUGGGGGAUAACCAUUGGAAACGAUGGCUAAUACCGCAUAAUGCCUACGGGCCAAAGAGGGGGACCUUCGGGCCUCUCGCGUCAAGAUAUGCCUAGGUGGGAUUAGCUAGUUGGUGAGGUAAUGGCUCACCAAGGCGACGAUCCCUAGCUGGUCUGAGAGGAUGAUCAGCCACACUGGAACUGAGACACGGUCCAGACUCCUACGGGAGGCAGCAGUGGGGAAUAUUGCACAAUGGGCGCAAGCCUGAUGCAGCCAUGCCGCGUGUAUGAAGAAGGCCUUCGGGUUGUAAAGUACUUUCAGCAGUGAGGAAGGGGGUGUCGUUAAUAGCGGCAUCUCUUGACGUUAGCUGCAGAAGAAGCACCGGCUAACUCCGUGCCAGCAGCCGCGGUAAUACGGAGGGUGCGAGCGUUAAUCGGAAUUACUGGGCGUAAAGCGCAUGCAGGUGGUU